rnacentral:snRNA from 1 species
ACAUGCUAAUGCUCUCUGUAUUGUUCCAAUUUAGAUUAGAGUGGAUUAGCAUGGCCCCUGCGCAAGGAUGACACGCAAGUACGUGAUGCAUUCCGCACUGUU